AUUUUAUAUUAUAAUAGUAAAGACAAUUAGCUUCGACUUAUCGUGAGUAAGAAACAAUAUGAAAACAAAUGCAUAACGAUCAUUAGAUACAUGUUUCUUCUUC